rnacentral:rRNA from 1 species
UAUUUCAUAGUCAGAGGUGAAAUUAUUGGAUGCAUGAACGACGAACAACUGCGAAAGCAUCUGCCAAGGAUGUUUUCAUUAAUCAAGAACCAAAGUUGGAGGCUCGAAGACGAUCAGAUACCGUCAUAGUCUCAACCAUCAACGAUGCCGACCAGGCAUCACCGGAGGUUGAUUAUAGGAUUCCGCUGGCACCUUAUGAGAAAUCAAAGUUUUUGGGUUCCGGGGGGAGUAUGGUAGCAAGGCUGAAACUUAAAGGAAUUGACGGAAGGGCACCAUCAGGCGUGGAGCAUGCGGAUUAAUUUGAUUCAACACGGGGAAACUCACCAGGUCCAGACAUAAAUAGGAUGGACAGAUUGAUAGCUCUUUCUUGAUUUUGUGGGUGGUGGUGCAUGCCCGUUUUUAGUUGGGGGAGUGAUUUGUAUGCUUAAUUUCGAUAAUGAACGAGACCUUAACCUGCUAAAUAGCCAGGCUAGCUUUGGCUGGUCGCCGGCUUCAUAGAGGGACUAUCGGCUCAAGCCGAUGGAAGUUUGAGGCAAUAACAGGUCUGUGUUGCCAUAAGAUGUUAUGGACCGCACGCGGGGUACUUUGACAGAGCCAACGAGUUCCUUAUAAGACCGAAAGGUCCUGGGUAAUGGGGUUAAAAUGCGUGGAGUAGGGGAUAGAGCAUCGCAAUUAUUGCUUGUCACAAGGGAAUUCCAAGUAAGCGCAAGUCAUCAGCAUGCGCCGAUUACGUGCCCUGCCAGUAGUACACACCGC